rnacentral:rRNA from 1 species
UACGAAGGGUGCAAGCGUUACUCGGAAUUAUUGGGCGUAAAGAGCUCGUAGGCGGUUUGUCGCGUCUGCUGUGAAAACUGGAGGCUCAACCUCCAGCCUGCAGUGGGUACGGGCAGACUAGAGUGCGGUAGGGGAGAUUGGAAUUCCUGGUGUAGCGGUGGAAUGCGCAGAUAUCAGGAGGAACACCGAUGGCGAAGGCAGAUCUCUGGGCCGUAACUGACGCUGAGGAGCGAAAGCAUGGGGAGCGAACAGG